rnacentral:rRNA from 1 species
GACGGAGGGGGCAAGCGUUGUCCGGACUCACUGGGCGUAAAGGGUGCGUAGGCGGUCCUGUGCGUCGGCGCUGAAAGCGCCCGGCUUAACCGGGCGAGGCGUGCCGAUACGAUGGGACUGGAGCCUCGGAGAGGGUGGGGGAACUCCUGGUGUAGUGGUGAAAUGCGUAGAGAUCAGGAAGAACACCCGUGGCGCAAGCGCCCACCUGGCCGAGAGCUGACGCUGAGGCACGAGAGCGUGGGGAGCGAACCGG